UGGGGAAUAUUGCACAAUGGGCGCAAGCCUGAUGCAGCCAUGCCGCGUGUGUGAAGAAGGCCUUCGGGUUGUAAAGCACUUUCAGCGGGGAGGAAGGCGAUAAGGUUAAUAACCUUGUCGAUUGACGUUACCCGCAGAAGAAGCACCGGCUAACUCCGUGCCAGCAGCCGCGGUAAUACGGAGGGUGCAAGCGUUAAUCGGAAUUACUGGGCGUAAAGCGCACGCAGGCGGUCUGUCAAGUCGGAUGUGAAAUCCCCGGGCUCAACCUGGGAACUGCAUUCGAAACUGGCAGGCUAGAGUCUUGUAGAGGGGGGUAGAAUUCCAAGUGUAGCGGUGAAAUGCGUAGAGAUCUGGAGGAAUACCGGUGGCGAAGGCGGCCCCCUGGACAAAGACUGACGCUCAGGUGCGAAAGCGUGGGGAGCAAACAGG
rnacentral:rRNA from 1 species